rnacentral:piRNA from 1 species
UACUGUCCCGAGACAUGUUCCCUGAC